AUGGAUGUGAUGAUUAUUUCCCCAAAUGAUCGAAGCUGAACAAACUGAGCGAUUUCUUUCUCUCUUUUGAGAAUCCAAGCCAAAUAUCUGAUCCAU